rnacentral:rRNA from 1 species
UCGGGAAUUUUGGGCAAUGGGCGAAAGCCUGACCCAGCAACGCCGCGUGGAGGAUGAAGUAUUUCGGUAUGUAAACUUCGAAAGAAUAGGAAGAAUAAAUGACGGUACUAUUUAUAAGGUCCGGCUAACUACGUGCCAGCAGCCGCGGUAAUACGUAGGGACCAAGCGUUGUUCGGAUUUACUGGGCGUAAAGGGCGCGUAGGCGGCAAUUCAAGUCAUCUGUGAAAUCUCCGGGCUUAACUCGGAACGGUCAGAUGAUACUGCUUUGCUAGAGUGCAGAAGGGGCAAUCGGAAUUCUUGGUGUAGCGGUGAAAUGCGUAGAUAUCAAGAGGAACACCUGAGGUGAAGACGGGUUGCUGGGCUGACACUGACGCUGAGGCGCGAAAGCCAGGGGAGCAAACGGGAUUAGAUACCCACGUAGUCCCUGAGCGGGCUGGCAAGGCGCAU